GCAUUGGUGUUCAGUGGUAAAAUUAUUGCCUUCCAUGCAAGAGACUUAGGUUUGACUCCCUGUCAAUGCA
rnacentral:tRNA from 1 species